GCAGAGUGAGUGGUGGCCUAGUGGUUAGAGAGCAGGGCAUCUGGUUGUUGAGAGACCACAAGUACCCUGGUUCAAAUCCCAGAGCCUGCCACUCUGCA